GAUGAACGCUGGCGGCGUGCCUAAUACAUGCAAGUCGAGCGAACGGACGAGAAGCUUGCUUCUCUGAUGUUAGCGGCGGACGGGUGAGUAACACGUGGAUAACCUACCUAUAAGACUGGGAUAACUUCGGGAAACCGGAGCUAAUACCGGAUAAUAUUUUGAACCGCAUGGUUCAAAAGUGAAAGACGGUCUUGCUGUCACUUAUAGAUGGAUCCGCGCUGCAUUAGCUAGUUGGUAAGGUAACGGCUUACCAAGGCAACGAUGCAUAGCCGACCUGAGAGGGUGAUCGGCCGCACUGGAACUGAGACACGGUCCAGACUCCUACGGGAGGCAGCAGUAGGGAAUCUUCCGCAAUGGGCGAAAGCCUGACGGAGCAACGCCGCGUGAGUGAUGAAGGUCUUCGGAUCGUAAAACUCUGUUAUUAUGGAAGAACAUAUGUGUAAGUAACUGUGCACAUCUUGACGGUACCUAAUCAGAAAGCCACGGCUAACUACGUG
rnacentral:rRNA from 1 species